GUCGUUGUAGUAUAGUGGUAAG
rnacentral:siRNA from 1 species